AUCCCGGACGUCACGGAGGAGUCGAGGCGGCGGUGGCGGCCCGGGGCUCAGCCUGCACUUGCAUCAUGGGUGCAGCAGCAGCUGCCCCGAUCCUUUGUGCCUUUUUCCCCCUAUUGAGUAACUGCUUUGUUAACUGAAAAUACCAUGACGGACCAGUGUGAUCACCAGUUCCAGACCUCAAAGAAAGUGAAGCUGUCAGGCAAGAAGAGGGAGACUCCCCCAGCCGGCUGCGAUGGUAUCUGGUGGGUGGGUGUGUAGAGAAGCACUUGACAGUUUUCCACGUAUUACUUCUUGCCUAACUCUUCACCCUUAAGAAGGUUUAAAAAUAAUUUUAUUUCCAUGCUGUAAAAAUUUCAUCUGUGUUCUGCACCCCACCCAUUCUCCUUCACUUUAAAAUCUCAUGCAGAACUGGAAUCACUCAAUUCAGGAACCCUAAAAUUAGGUACAAUUUUUAGGAGACAUGACAUCUUUCCAUGGAAUUAUAGAAUGCGUUCCAUUUUCUAAUUUAAUAUGUGAAAGGUCCUUGCUCACUCGGUUUAUUAUAAAGUCACUAACUUUGUUCAUGUGAAUUGGAGGGUUCCGGUGUCCUGAGUUGAGACAGAAGUAAUUUACCGGAUCUAUGAUAAUGCCACUUAUGUGUGUGGUGGUAACAAAACCCCCGGUAUCAUGGACACUCCUGGAUUGAAGGAGGAUCUUCUCCGGCUCUUAGCACUUAGGACUCUAUAUAAACGGUGCUUUUUAUUUCUGGGUAGUAGUAUUGGGGGGGAAACACUUAUCCUAGUUUACCUUAAAAAAUAAAUUUCACCCUUAGCUAGCUGGGAAUCUCCAGGAGCAGAUUUGAUCUUUGAGUGGGUGUGCGUUUGGGGACCGAUCCUGGCUAUUUUUACAUUACUUUCUUCUUGUGCUUUAUUUUAUAUCCUUCCAGUCCUGAGGGUCACUCAGGUCACCUGCCCUAGUUCCUUAAUGCUCAGUCAGGGUGAGCUAGUCUACUGUUCCUAGCUGGGGCUGCCUAGGGUGGAGAGCUGGAUUCACUGUGGGAGAGUUUGCAGUGGUUAUUGAUAACUGACAAGUUUCUGAAACUCAGAAGAAAAGUCAUGAAAGCAGAGCCAGGUCUGGGCACCCUCCUCUGCUCCAUCCAAGGUCCCUAAUGAAGGCAGCUCUUUCCAUGAGCCAGACAGACUUUUUAAAGUAUAUGUUCAUAGCUAUUCUUUUCUGCACUUUAAAGGCCAGACUUACUACAAAUAGAAAACAAUAUUCUGUGAGGCCUAUGCAAUGAUUUAAUUUUAUUUUUAGAAAUCUAUAUUACUUUUUUGAUUACAAUAUUCUUAAGUGAAAUUCAGUACUGGAUACAACUAUAUCUCCUGUUUUCAGAUACCAAAUAGAAUAAGUGCCUUAAUCGGUGGCAUAAUGAAGACAUCCCAGGUUUGGUCCUUUCUCUAGAAAAAAAAAAAGGACUUUCAUGUAUGUUCUUGCUUGUAAUGUUAAGAAAGUAAUUUCUGCUUUUUCAACAGCAGUCUGUUAGAAACUAUCUAUACAGUAAUUAUUAUAGGUUUGUAAGAUAACUUUCAUUUAUUUUAUUUUGAUGUGGAUUUGUAAUGCUAAUUUGCAUGAAAAAAGAAAGAUAUAUUUCUCUCAAAAAAUAAAAUAAGAGAUUUGAGGAAAUUUUGUAUGUUCAAUAUAAAACAAUUAUUUUUAACAAAAGUAGGAUUAAAAACAACUGUCUAAAAAGAAUGCCAUGUAAUCUUGUUGAUUUUACUAGUGUGUAAAGAAUGGUUACUAUUAAAAGUAAGGAAGGGUGAAAAA
rnacentral:lncRNA from 1 species